rnacentral:rRNA from 1 species
CUAAGUUUGAUGGCGACCGGCGCACGGGUGAGUAACACGUAUCCAACCUGCCGAUGACUCGGGGAUAGCCUUUCGAAAGAAAGAUUAAUACCCGAUGGCAUAGUUCUUCCGCAUGGUGGAACUAUUAAAGAAUUUCGGUCAUCGAUGGGGAUGCGUUCCAUUAGGUUGUUGGCGGGGUAACGGCCCACCAAGCCUUCGAUGGAUAGGGGUUCUGAGAGGAAGGUCCCCCACAUUGGAACUGAGACACGGUCCAGACUCCUACGGGAGGCAGCAUG